rnacentral:misc_RNA from 1 species
GAUGAAGAACGCAGCGAAAUGCGAUACUUGGUGUGAAUUGCAGAAUCCCGUGAACCAUCGAGUCUUUGAACGCAAGUUGCGCCCGAAGCCAUUAGGCCGAGGGCACGCCUGCCUGGGCGUCACACGUCGUUGCCCCCCCAUCUACUCCUUCGGGAUUGCGGGGGGCGGAUGAUGGCCUCCCGUGCGCCUCGUCGCGCGGUUGGCAUAAAUGCCAAGUCCUCGGCGACGCACGCCACGACAAUCGGUGGUUGCGAAACCUCGGUUGCCCGUCGUGUGCGGUCGUCGCGCAUCGAGGGCUCGAAAAAAUUGCCGGGCUCCGGCUCGGCUUUCAACGCGACCCCAGGUCAGGCGGGGUUACCCGCUGAAUUUAAGCAUAUCAAUAGCGGAGGA